rnacentral:tRNA from 1 species
GUAGUCGUGGCCGAGUGGUUAAGGCGACAGACUUGAAAUGUGUUGGGAUAUUCCAGCGCAGGUUUAGAUCCUGCCGACUGCG